CGCAUCUGUGCAUGCAGCAUAUCAAUAAGCGGAGGAAAAGGAGUAUACCUACGCUUAGGAUGUUGACGAGACUGUCGAUCUCAUCUAUACAUGACUCUGUGCAUAUCAAUAAGCGGAGGAAAAGAGGGCUAUUACCUACGCUUAGGAUGUUGACGAGACUGUCGAUCUCAUCUAUACAUGACUCUGUGCAUAUCAAUAAGCGGAGGAAAAGAAACUAACAAGGAUUCCCCUAGUAACGGCGAGUGAAGCGGGAAGAGCUCAAAUUUGAAAUCUUAAAGGGUUUCCCUUUACGAAUUGUAGUUUAAAGAAGUGUUUUCUGUUGAGGUUUUGGUAAAAGUUCUUUGGAAUAGGACAUCAUAGAGGGUGAGAAUCCCGUAUUUGACCUUUACCUUCAACUUUGUGAUACACUUUCAAAGAGUCGGAUUGUUUGGGAAUGCAGUCCAAAAUGGGUGGUAAAUUUCAUCUAAAGCUAAAUAUUGGCGAGAGACCGAUAGCGAACAAGUACCGUGAGGGAAAGAUGAAAAGAACUUUGAAAAGAGAGUUAAACAGUACGUGAAAUUGUCAAAAGGGAAGCGUUUGACACCAGUGUUGUUUUUCUGAAAAUCAAUUAAAGAACUGUUUAUGCUAAGUUGUUUAGACUUUAUCAGCUAUCUGUUUAGUUUUGAGCUUUUCUUUAAUGCACUUUUCAGUUAACAAGUCAACAUCAAUUUCUUUUGCUGUAAAAAAGCUUGAGGAAGGUGGCUUGAGAUUCGUCUUAAGUGUUUAUAGCCUCUUGCCUAUGCAGUCGGAGAGAUUGAGGUCUGCAGCGUAGAUCCUUCGGGGUUAGAUAGCAUUUGUGCUAAGUUAUAGCAUUUUAUAGACAACUUGUUGACUAUGAUUUGUCUUGUAGCUUACUCGCUUAUGUUAUUUUACCUACGCUUAGGAUGUUGACGAGACUGUCGAUCUC
rnacentral:rRNA from 1 species